GUGCUUAUAUUGCAAAAAAAAAUGCAUUUGUGUUGUACUUCAAUUAAUAUCAUAAAAAUAGUCAUUUUUUUCUUAGUUUUGUUUUUGUUUUUAACUAUAUCUUUUCCAAUAUAAUCACAGUAAUUUAAUCACAGUAAUUUAAGUCAUCACAGACUUGUUCACUAUUGUCCCUGUUUAGAAUCAAUAAGACCAUGUGCAGUGUCAAACAGGUUAAUGGGUGUAGUUCCAUCAGUCACUAACACACUCUGUA
rnacentral:lncRNA from 1 species